CGGGGCGUAGCGCAGUCUGGUAGCGCACUUGCAUGGGGUGCAAGAAGUCACAGGUUCGAAUCCUGUCGUCCCGA
rnacentral:tRNA from 2 species